rnacentral:tRNA from 1 species
AAACUAUUAUUUUGUGUUUUGAAAACACAAUAGAGGAAUU